AACGAACGCUGGCGGCAUGCCUAACACAUGCAAGUCGAACGAGACCUUCGGGUCUAGUGGCGCACGGGUGCGUAACGCGUGGGAACCUGCCCUUAGGUUCGGAAUAACUCCCCGAAAGGGGUGCUAAUACCGGAUAAUGUCUUCGGACCAAAGAUUUAUCGCCUUUGGAUGGGCCCGCGUUGGUUUAGCUAGUUGGUAGGGUAAAAGCCUACCAAGGCGACGAUCCAUAGCUGGUCUGAGAGGAUGAUCAGCCACACUGGGACUGAGACACGGCCCAGACUCCUACGGGAGGCAGCAGUGGGGAAUAUUGGACAAUGGGCGAAAUCCUGAUCCAGCAAUGCCGCGUGAGUGAUGAAGGCCUUAGGGUUGUAAAGCUCUUUUACCCGGGAUGAUAAUGACAGUACCGGGAGAAUAAGCUCCGGCUAACUCCGUG
rnacentral:rRNA from 1 species